GGCAAUCAUACCACACUUGCUCUAAGGGUCAUCAACACGGUUCCAAGGCGGAAUCAAAUGAGUGCAAUGAUCGUAACAGUUAUUUUAAAUGUGCAUAUGGACAUGACCACCGUUCACGCGAUGACGUAAACUCAUGCCAUCAUCAUAAAGAAGAAAUGGCGAAGAUUGAUGCAAAUGCCAUACAUAUGCUUAAUGCAACAAAGGAGAAGAGUAAAUUAUGAUGUACCUGUUAUUCCAUAUACCAACAGGUACAACUGUCUGAAGGCUGUACGGGGAACCAGGCGAUGAGUGAAAACAGACAAAAGAAAUAUAAUCAUAUGAAUGACUGAUUAAGUAAUGAGUAUACAAUCUAUUCAAGUGCACUUGUAAAAUGUAAAACACACCAAUAUUCAUAUAAUUUGGU